AUGACCACGCCUGCUACUACAGUAGGGCACACAGAUGGGGCAUGCCUUGCAUUUGUGUUGUUUCGUGCCACGCCAAAUUCACUAUUUGUUUUGCUGAAGUUCACUUUUCAUGUAAAGGGAAGGAGACGCCGAGAUGCCUGUGAAGAUCAGCGUGUCGACAGGUCAAUUGUGUCGCAUCUCGAAGUUCAGCGGCCAACUGCUCUGGCCGGAUCCAUCGCUAGUGCGUCGCUCAUGUUGGUGAACGUGGUUGUGGAGGAGGCCCUCCGCACCGAGCCCGUCGGCGUUGACACCAACUCGUGUGCAUCUCCCCUACUAACAUCUAUCCACAAAAAUUUAGAGAUGUUCCGUCAAGUUCUAGCGCAACCAUAG
rnacentral:rRNA from 1 species